AAUGUUCGAGCACGUUAUCAUUUAAGGAGAAAGUAGUUUUUCUCAGAACUUGAAUCCUUCAAAGCAAUAUGACAACAUCUACAUGUUUAGCAUCCCAAAUAUUUUAGAGUUUGAAUACUCAAAUACCACAUUUUGAUUAUCAAAAUCUAUGAUUAUCCCAUAAGCAAGGACCGUGCUCGAUUCAUCGAUGCUAGAAGGAAAAAGG